UACGAGUGCCCCAAGCGUUAUCCGGAAUCAUUGGGCGUAAAGGGUGUGUAGGCGGUUGUGUUAGUCUCAUGUCAAAUUCUUCGGCUUAACCGGGGUACCGCAUGGGAAACGGCACAACUAGAGGAUGCGAGGGGUCUGUAGAACUCAUGGAGUAGGGGUGAAAUCCGUUGAUAUCAUGGGGAAUACCGAAAGCGAAGGCAGCAGACUGGCGCACUCCUGACGCUGAAACACGAAAGCGUGGGUAGCGAAUGGG
rnacentral:rRNA from 1 species